CCCUUAGAUGUCCGGGGCUGCACGCGCGCUACACUGAAGGAAUCAGCGUGCUAAAACCAUUGUCGAAAGGCAUUGGUAAACCCAUUAAAAUCCUACGUGAUUGGGAUCGGGAAUUGCAAUUAUUUCCCUUGAACGAGGAAUUCCCAGUAAGUGUGGGUCAUAAGCUCGCGUUGAUUACGUCCCUGCCCUUUGUACACACCGCCCGUCGCUACUACCGAUUGAAUGGUUUAGUGAGGCCUCGGGAUAUGCGUUGGUAGGCGCUGGCAACAGCGACUCCAAAGCGAGAACUUGGUCAAACUUGAUCAUUUAGAGGAAGUAAAAGUCGUAACA
rnacentral:rRNA from 1 species